rnacentral:tRNA from 1 species
GGAGGGGUGGCCGAGCGGCUGAAGGCGGCGGUUUGCUAAACCGUUGUACACCGUCAAGGUGUACCGUGGGUUCGAAUCCCAUCCCCUCCGCCA